AUGAACGCUAGCGACAGGCUUAACACAUGCAAGUCGAGGGGCAGCACAGGUAGCAAUACCGGGUGGCGACCGGCGCACGGGUGAGUAACGCGUAUGCAACUUGCCUAUCAGAGGGGGAUAACCCGGCGAAAGUCGGACUAAUACCGCAUGAAGCAGGGGCCCCGCAUGGGGAUAUUUGCUAAAGAUUCAUCGCUGAUAGAUAGGCAUGCGUUCCAUUAGGCAGUUGGCGGGGUAACGGCCCACCAAACCGACGAUGGAUAGGGGUUCUGAGAGGAAGGUCCCCCACAUUGGUACUGAGACACGGACCAAACUCCUACGGGAGGCAGCAGUGAGGAAUAUUGGUCAAUGGCCGAGAGGCUGAACCAGCCAAGUCGCGUGAGGGAUGAAGGUUCUAUGGAUCGUAAACCUCUUUUAUAAGGGAAUAAAGUGCGGGACGUGUCCCGUUUUGUAUGUACCUUAUGAAUAAGGAUCGGCUAACUCCGUGCCAGCAGCCGCGGUAAUACGGAGGAUCCGAGCGUUAUCCGGAUUUAUUGGGUUUAAAGGGUGCGUAGGCGGCCUUUUAAGUCAGCGGUGAAAGUCUGUGGCUCAACCAUAGAAUUGCCGUUGAAACUGGGGGGCUUGAGUAUGUUUGAGGCAGGCGGAAUGCGUGGUGUAGCGGUGAAAUGCAUAGAUAUCACGCAGAACCCCGAUUGCGAAGGCAGCCUGCCAAGCCAUUACUGACGCUGAUGCACGAAAGCGUGGGGAUCAAACAGGAUUAGAUACCCUGGUAGUCCACGCAGUAAACGAUGAUCACUAGCUGUUUGCGAUACACUGUAAGCGGCACAGCGAAAGCGUUAAGUGAUCCACCUGGGGAGUACGCCGGCAACGGUGAAACUCAAAGGAAUUGACGGGGGCCCGCACAAGCGGAGGAACAUGUGGUUUAAUUCGAUGAUACGCGAGGAACCUUACCCGGGUUUGAACGCAUUCGGACCGAGGUGGAAACACCUUUUCUAGCAAUAGCCGUUUGCGAGGUGCUGCAUGGUUGUCGUCAGCUCGUGCCGUGAGGUGUCGGCUUAAGUGCCAUAACGAGCGCAACCCUUGCCACUAGUUACUAACAGGUAAAGCUGAGGACUCUGGUGGGACUGCCAGCGUAAGCUGCGAGGAAGGCGGGGAUGACGUCAAAUCAGCACGGCCCUUACAUCCGGGGCGACACACGUGUUACAAUGGCGUGGACAAAGGGAAGCCACCUAGCGACAGGGAGCGAAUCCCCAAACCACGUCUCAGUUCGGAUCGGAGUCUGCAACCCGACUCCGUGAAGCUGGAUUCGCUAGUAAUCGCGCAUCAGCCAUGGCGCGGUGAAUACGUUCCCGGGCCUUGUACACACCGCCCGUCAAGCCAUGGGAGCCGGGGGUACCUGAAGUCCGUAACCGCGAGGAUCGGCCUAGGGUAAAACUGGUGACUGGGGCU
rnacentral:rRNA from 1 species